GACGAACGCUGGCGGCGUGCUUAACACAUGCAAGUCGAACGGAAAGGCCCUGCUUUUGUGGGGUGCUCGAGUGGCGAACGGGUGAGUAACACGUGAGUAACCUGCCCUUGACUUCGGGAUAACUUCAGGAAACUGGGGCUAAUACCGGAUAGGAGCUCCUGCUGCAUGGUGGGGGUUGGAAAGUUUCGGCGGUUGGGGAUGGACUCGCGGCUUAUCAGCUUGUUGGUGGGGUAGUGGCUUACCAAGGCUUUGACGGGUAGCCGGCCUGAGAGGGUGACCGGCCACAUUGGGACUGAGAUACGGCCCAGACUCCUACGGGAGGCAGCAGUGGGGAAUAUUGCACAAUGGGCGGAAGCCUGAUGCAGCAACGCCGCGUGCGGGAUGACGGCCUUCGGGUUGUAGACCGCUUUCGCCUGUGACGAAGCGUGAGUGACGGUAAUGGGUAAAGAAGCACCGGCUAACUACGUG
rnacentral:rRNA from 1 species